UACCAGCACCCCGAGUGGUCGGGACGAUUAUUGGGCCUAAAGCAUCCGUAGCCGGUCCUACAAGUCUUCCGUUAAAUCCACCUGCUUAACAGAUGGGCUGCGGAAGAUACUAUAGGGCUAGGAGGCGGGAGAGGCAAGCGGUACUCAGUGGGUAGGGGUAAAAUCCUCUGAUCCAUUGAGGACCACCAGUGGCGAAGGCGGCUUGCCAGAACGCGCUCGACGGUGAGGGAUGAAAGCUGGGGGAGCAAACCGG
rnacentral:rRNA from 1 species